UACGUAGGGGGCUAGCGUUGUCCGGAUUUAUUGGGCGUAAAGGGCUCGUAGGUGGCCAACUAAGUCAGACGUGAAAUCCCUCAGCUUAACUGGGGAACUGCGUCUGAUACUGGAUGGCUUGAGUUUGGGAGAGGGAUGCGGAAUUCCAGGUGUAGCGGUGAAAUGCGUAGAUAUCUGGAGGAACACCGGUGGCGAAGGCGGCAUCCUGGACCAACACUGACACUGAGGAGCGAAAGCCAGGGGAGCAAACGGG
rnacentral:rRNA from 1 species